GAUGAAGAACGCAGCGAAAUGCGAUAAGUAGUGUGAAUUGCAGAAUUCAGUGAAUCAUCGAAUCUUUGAACGCACAUUGCGCCCCUUGGUAUUCCGGGGGGCAUGCCUGUUCGAGCGUCAUUAUAACCCCUCAAGCUCAGCUUGGUGUUGGGGCCUGCCAACUGGCAGCCCUUAAAAUCAGUGGCGGCGCCAUCUGGCUCUAAGCGUAGUAAUUUCUCUCGCUAUAGGGUCCCGGUGGAUGCUGGCCAACAACCCCCAAUUUUCUAUGGUUGACCUCGGAUCAGGUAGGGAUACCCGCUGAACUUAAGCAUAUCAAUAAGCGGAGGA
rnacentral:misc_RNA from 1 species